rnacentral:rRNA from 1 species
UGGCUCAGAUUGAACGCUGGCGGCAUGGCUAAAACAUGCAAGUCGAACGACUAGCAAUAGAAGUGGCGAAAGGGCGAGGAAUAGAUUCCCACGUACCCCGAGGUCAGGGAUACCUCAGAGAAAUCUGAGACAAUACCUGAUAAUAUCGGAAACGAUCAAAGGUUUACCACCUUGGGAGCGGGGAAUCUCCUAUCAGCUAGUUGGUGAGGUAAUGGCUCACCAAGGCGAAGACGGGUAGCGGGUGUGAGAGCACGGCCCGCCGCAUCGAGACUGAGACACUGCUCGGACUCCUACGGGAGGCUGCAGUAACGAAUCUUCCGCAAUGCACGAAAGUGUGACGGGGCAAUGCCGCGUGUGGGAUGAAGCCCUUCGGGGUGUAAACUACUGUCAGGGACUACCAACAACAUGAGGAGUCCCAAAGGAAGAGCCGGCUAACUCUGUGCCAGCAGCCGCGGUAAUACAGAGGGCUCGAGCGUUAAUCGGAAUCACUGGGCUUAAAGCGUGCGUAGGCGGAUUUGAAGGCGCUUUGUGAAAUCCCUCGGCUCAACCGAGGAACUGCUUGGCGAACCACAAAUCUUGAGGCUGGUAGAGGUGGUCGGAACAAUAGGUGGAGCGGUGAAAUGCGUAGAUAUCUAUUGAACACCGAAAGUGAAGACAGGCCACUGGGCCAGUCCUGACGCUGAGCACGAAAGCGUGGGUAGCAAACGGGAUUAGAUACCCCGGUAGUCCACGCCGUAACGAUGCGCACUUGGUCGAGGGGUUGAACGC